rnacentral:rRNA from 1 species
GUGUCAGCCGCCGCGGUAAUACGGAGGGUGCAAGCGUUAUCCGGAUUCACUGGGUUUAAAGGGUGCGUAGGUGGGUUGGUAAGUCAGUGGUGAAAUCUUCGAGCUUAACUCGGAAAUUGCCAUUGAUACUAUCAGUCUUGAAUAUUGUGGAGGUUAGCGGAAUAUGUCAUGUAGCGGUGAAAUGCUUAGAUAUGACAUAGAACACCAAUUGCGAAGGCAGCUGGCUACACAUAUAUUGACACUGAGGCACGAAAGCGUGGGGAUCAAACAGGAUUAGAUACCCUGGUAGUCCACGCCCUAAACUAUGGAUACUCGACAUACGCGAUACACUGUGUGUGUCUGAGCGAAAGCAUUAAGUAUCCCACCUGGGAAGUACGAUCGCAAGAUUGAAACUUAAAGGAAUUGGCGG